rnacentral:tRNA from 1 species
AGUUAUCUUGGCAGAGCAAAUGCAAUGAAUUUAGGAUUCAUAUAUAUAAAUUUUUUUAUAGAUAAU